UACGUAGGGUGCAAGCGUUAUCCGGAAUUAUUGGGCGUAAAGGGCUCGUAGGCGGUUCGUCGCGUCCGGUGUGAAAGUCCAUCGCUUAACGGUGGAUCCGCGCCGGGUACGGGCGGGCUUGAGUGCGGUAGGGGAGACUGGAAUUCCCGGUGUAACGGUGGAAUGUGUAGAUAUCGGGAAGAACACCAAUGGCGAAGGCAGGUCUCUGGGCCGUUACUGACGCUGAGGAGCGAAAGCGUGGGGAGCGAACAGGAUUAGAUACC
rnacentral:rRNA from 1 species